AAUUGAAGAGUUUGAUCAUGGCUCAGAUUGAACGCUGGCGGCAGGCCUAACACAUGCAAGUCGAGCGGUAGCACAGAGAGCUUGCUCUCGGGUGACGAGCGGCGGACGGGUGAGUAAUGUCUGGGAAACUGCCUGAUGGAGGGGGAUAACUACUGGAAACGGUAGCUAAUACCGCAUAACGUCGCAAGACCAAAGUGGGGGACCUUCGGGCCUCAUGCCAUCAGAUGUGCCCAGAUGGGAUUAGCUAGUAGGUGGGGUAACGGCUCACCUAGGCGACGAUCCCUAGCUGGUCUGAGAGGAUGACCAGCCACACUGGAACUGAGACACGGUCCAGACUCCUACGGGAGGCAGCAGUGGGGAAUAUUGCACAAUGGGCGCAAGCCUGAUGCAGCCAUGCCGCGUGUGUGAAGAAGGCCUUCGGGUUGUAAAGCACUUUCAGCGGGGAGGAAGGCGUUAAGGUUAAUAACCUUGGCGAUUGACGUUACCCGCAGAAGAAGCACCGGCUAACUCCGUGCCAGCAGCCGCGGUAAUACGGAGGGUGCAAGCGUUAAUCGGAAUUACUGGGCGUAAAGCGCACGCAGGCGGUCUGUCAAGUCGGAUGUGAAAUCCCCGGGCUCAACCUGGGAACUGCAUUCGAAACUGGCAGGCUAGAGUCUUGUAGAGGGGGGUAGAAUUCCAGGUGUAGCGGUGAAAUGCGUAGAGAUCUGGAGGAAUACCGGUGGCGAAGGCGGCCCCCUGGACAAAGACUGACGCUCAGGUGCGAAAGCGUGGGGAGCAAACAGGAUUAGAUACCCUGGUAGUCCACGCCGUAAACGAUGUCGAUUUGGAGGUUGUGCCCUUGAGGCGUGGCUUCCGGAGCUAACGCGUUAAAUCGACCGCCUGGGGAGUACGGCCGCAAGGUUAAAACUCAAAUGAAUUGACGGGGGCCCGCACAAGCGGUGGAGCAUGUGGUUUAAUUCGAUGCAACGCGAAGAACCUUACCUGGUCUUGACAUCCACAGAACUUUCCAGAGAUGGAUUGGUGCCUUCGGGAACUGUGAGACAGGUGCUGCAUGGCUGUCGUCAGCUCGUGUUGUGAAAUGUUGGGUUAAGUCCCGCAACGAGCGCAACCCUUAUCCUUUGUUGCCAGCGGUUAGGCCGGGAACUCAAAGGAGACUGCCAGUGAUAAACUGGAGGAAGGUGGGGAUGACGUCAAGUCAUCAUGGCCCUUACGACCAGGGCUACACACGUGCUACAAUGGCAUAUACAAAGAGAAGCGACCUCGCGAGAGCAAGCGGACCUCAUAAAGUAUGUCGUAGUCCGGAUUGGAGUCUGCAACUCGACUCCAUGAAGUCGGAAUCGCUAGUAAUCGUAGAUCAGAAUGCUACGGUGAAUACGUUCCCGGGCCUUGUACACACCGCCCGUCACACCAUGGGAGUGGGUUGCAAAAGAAGUAGGUAGCUUAACCUUCGGGAGGGCGCUUACCACUUUGUGAUUCAUGACUGGGGUGAAGUCGUAACAAGGUAACCGUAGGGGAACCUGCGGUUGGAUCACCUCCUUACCUUA
rnacentral:rRNA from 1 species